AUUGAACGCUGGCGGCAUGCCUUACACAUGCAAGUCGAACGGCAGCACGGGAGCAAUCCUGGUGGCGAGUGGCGAACGGGUGAGUAAUAUAUCGGAACGUGCCCAGUCGUGGGGGAUAACGUAGCGAAAGCUACGCUAAUACCGCAUACGAUCUAUGGAUGAAAGCGGGGGAUCGCAAGACCUCGCGCGAUUGGAGCGGCCGAUAUCAGAUUAGGUAGUUGGUGAGGUAAAGGCUCACCAAGCCGACGAUCUGUAGCUGGUCUGAGAGGACGACCAGCCACACUGGGACUGAGACACGGCCCAGACUCCUACGGGAGGCAGCAGUGGGGAAUUUUUGGACAAUGGGCGCAAGCCUGAUCCAGCAAUGCCGCGUGCAGGAUGAAGGCCUUCGGUGUAACUAGCUUUGUAC
rnacentral:rRNA from 1 species